rnacentral:rRNA from 1 species
GGAGUCUGGUCCGUGUCUCAGUACCAGUGUGGGGGACCUUCCUCUCAGAACCCCUAUCCAUCGUUGCCUUGGUGAGCCGUUACCUCACCAACCAGCUAAUGGAACGCAUGCCCAUCUAUCAGCGAUUAAUCUUUAACAAAUAGUCCCAUGCGGAACCCCUGUUUUAUGGAGUAUUAGUCCGACUUUCGCCGGG